rnacentral:rRNA from 1 species
GAUGAACGCUGGCGGCGUGCCUAAUACAUGCAAGUCGAGCGAACAGACGCGGCUCUUGCUCUUCUGACGUUAGCGACGGACGGGUAAGUAACACGUAGAUAACCCACCUAUAUGACUGGGACAACUUCGGGAAACCGUAGUUAAUACUGGGUAAUAUAUUGAACCGCAUGGUUCUAGAGUGAAAUAUGGUUUUGCUGUCAAUUAUAGAUCGAUCCGCGCCGCAUUAGCUAGUUGGUAAGGUAAGGGCUUAACAAGGAAACGAAGGGUAGCCGACAGGAGAGGGUGAUCGGCCACACUGGAGCGGGAACACGGUCCAGACGCCUGCGGGAGGCAGCAGUAGGGAAUCGUCCGCAAUAGGCGGAAACCUGACGGAGCGGCGCCGCGUGAGUGGUAGAGGUGUUCGGAGCGUAAAGCUCUGUUAUUAGGGGUAAACAAAUGUGUAAGUAACUGUACACAUCUUGACGGUACCUGAACAGAAAGCCACGGCUAACUACGUG